UACAGGAGACUGGCAUCCCAAGCAGCAGCUUAACCAUCAUGCCAAUCACCUGUUCCUGUAUUUGUGAUCUUAUUCUUUCAGUAUUAUGUUAAAAACUCCAUUGGCUUUUCAAAUGUGUAUUGACUUAAACCAGAUGAAGUGGGGGAAGGAUCUGAUCAGAUAUUAAUUUGAAUCUUGCUGUUCUGUGGAGAAGAGUUUGAAAAAGGUUGGGAAACCCAUAUGGUGCCUCCUGAGGGUCACAGGGAGUGAAGAGAAAAAAAUGCUAUUCAUUCUCCAUAAACAACUGGUUCAAACAGCAGCACUCUGAAAAAACUAACACUUCUUACAAUAAGCAAAAACACAGAAAGACAAUUUAAGGUGAAUAAUGUACCAUUUCACAGAAUCUGAAGAAAGUCAUGUUCACAGAGAAGUGGAACAAGGACCAAUUAUAAGCUUAAUUGCAUGUCUAACAGGGAACAUCAAGUAUCAUCAGGAAACUUGCCAGAGUACCAUUCAAGGGCUUGGAUUAGCCAACAGGAGACCUGAAUUCCAGUCUCAGUCCUGCCACUUAACAGCCACAUGAUCUGAGUCAAAUCACCUUUUUUUCUUUUUUUGUAAUGUCCUCAUCUGGAAAUGGAAUACAUUGGUCUCCAUUUCUGUGAUUCUCUAAUUUCAUAUCUUAAAUAGAUAAAAUAACAACAACAAAAGAUGUUCAAUUUUUUCCUUUAAAUUAUCUAUUCUACAAAAAUACAUCUAGGUCACCUUCUCUAUUGGAAUCUUCCCUAGGAAUUACAUAGUCUUUUUACCAUUUAGCUGCUAGAGAGCCUCUUGAUUACUUUC